rnacentral:rRNA from 1 species
CCUACGGGAGGCAGCAGUGAGGAAUAUUGGUCAAUGGACGAGAGUCUGAACCAGCCAAGUAGCGUGAAGGAUGACUGCCCUAUGGGUUGUAAACUUCUUUUAUAUGGGAAUAAAAUGUUCCACGUGUGGGAUUUUGUAUGUACCAUAUGAAGAAGGAGCGGCUAACUCCGUACCAGCAGCCGCGGUAAUACGGAGGAGCCGAGCGUUAUCCGGAUUGAUUGGGUUUAAAGGGAGCGUAGGUGGAUUUUUAAGUCAGUUGUGAAAGUUUUCGGCUCAACCGUAAAAUUGCAUUUGAAACUGGCAGUCUUGAGUACAGUAGAGGUGGGCGGAAUUCGUGGUGUAGCGGUGAAAUGCUUAGAUAUCACGAAGAACUCCGAUUGCGAAGGCAGCUCACUGGACUGCAACUGACACUGAGGCUCGAAAGUGUGGGUAUCAAACAGGAUUAGAUACCCGAGUAGUC